rnacentral:rRNA from 1 species
AGGACGAACGCUGGCGGCGUGCCUAACACAUGCAAGUCAACGGGGUUAAUCCUUCGGGAGUUAACUUAGUGGCGAACGGGUGAGUAACGCGUGAGGAACCUGCCUUUCAGUGGGGGACAACAGUUGGAAACGACUGCUAAUACCGCAUGGAUUUCUAUCAAAGCUCCGGCGGUAUGAGAUGGACCCGCGUCUGAUUAGCUAGUUGGUAAGGUAACGGGCUUACCAAGGCGACGAUGCGUAGCCGACCUGAGAGGGUGAUCGGCCACAUUGGGACUGAGACACGGCCCAGACUCCUACGGGAGGCAGCAGUGGGGAAUAUUGCACAAUGGGGGAAACCCUGAUGCAGCAACGCCGCGUGAGUGAUGACGGUCUUCGGAUUGUAAAGCUCUGUCUUUAGGGACGAUAAUGACGGUACCUAAGGAGGAAGCCACGGCUAACUACGUG